UGUACAAAGGUAGCAUAAUCAUUUUUCUUUUAAUUGAAGUCUGGAAUGAAUGGUUGGAUGAAAAAUUUACUUUCUUUAUUUUAAAAUAAUAAAUUGAUUUUUUAGUUAAAAAGCUAAAAUGUUAUUAUAGGACGAGAAGACCCUAUAGAACUUUAAUAUUUAACAUUAAUUAUUUUUUUGUAUAUAAUUUAUAAUUAUUUUAUAGAUAUUUUUGUUGGGGUGACAGAAAAAAUAUUAUAACUUUUUCUUAUUUUCUCUCAUUUAUUUAUGAACUUUUGAUCCUUUAUUAUGGAAAAAAGAUUAAGUUACCUUAGGGAUAACAGCGUUAUUAUUUUAGAGAGCUCAUAUUGAUAAAAUAGUUUGCGACCUCGAUGUUGGAUUAAAAUAAGUAUUAGAGGCAGAAUGUUAAUUACUAAGUCUGUUCGACUUUUAAAUUUUUACA
rnacentral:rRNA from 1 species